GUGAUAGUAUGAAUUUAAAAAAGGGACAGGUGGAAAUCAUUCAGAAUUUGAGGUAUAAUACAGGAGUGAGGAUUUUGGAUUUGCUUGCCUCCGCCGAAUUGAAGAGCAGUCGAAACGGGUACGUCUUUUACUACUACAACUCGAAUGUAGCCAUGUAGGAUUGGAUUGGUUUGGUUAUUUUCACAAACAGUUGGUAGGGUUCGUAGAAAUCAAUGAGAAAAAUGGCGAGAAUUACGUCAUUAUACUCGAAUUUGCUACACGCAUAGCCAUGUCUCUGUCGUGUCCGUUGCUGCUGCCUUUGCCCUGAAGCAAGCCCUUGCUGCUGUGUCUUCAUCUCCAACGCAUUUCCACAUUUCAUACGACAGAUAAAGAAGAUGAUCAAUUGGAUUGGAGUCAGCCAGACAUGUACCCUAGAAUAAUCCCCAAGAAAUCUCAUCAGGAAAAAGAUUUCCUUCAGCAGCCGGAAACUAGCAAAGUUGUAAGAGAGCGGAGUUUUCUUUCUGGGAGCCAUAGGUUUCAAUGAAAUAAGAAAUCUCAGUGGUGUCUGAUCUCGGUAUGCACAUGGUCAUGACUCAUGGCUGGUCACCAACAUUCGGCAUCAAGUUUCAGUGGACACUAUACAGUCGUGGUCUAGGAUCUGAUUACCAAAUGAUUGUUAUAGCACUUAUGAACUUUCCACCGCUUCCACAAUUCUCUGAACUGCGCACUCGACUCCUUGCCUUCGAGGGGCAACAGACCUUUGCAGCACAGAUGGUUGCGUCUCCUCUUGCUGCUUUUGUUGCAGUUCGACCACCACGUGACUCGCCUGCCAUGCGUCCUUGUGAUCAAGCAGGCCCUCAGCCACAGUUCGUACUUUCUAUGGGCCUGGACCGACUUCCCAUAGAGCCCAACGUCCGUUCUUCAAUGCCCAAGAUCUUUUAGGUUCUCCUCCCUCCCGUCAGCCACUUCAGUGCUGGAACUGCCAGUAAUUUGGACACUUUCGAGACAAGUGUCCUUAUUCUUGUCCCUUUGCCGGCAGGCAUGUUUCGUAUCUUUAGAUCCUAACUAGUAUUUGGACUUGGGUGCUACAAAUCACAUGACUCAUGAUGCUAAGAUUUUCCCCACUGGGGCCCAAUAAGCACCUAAUGACAAUGUUGUGAUUGGUAAUGGUGAAACCCUCCCCAUCACUCAGGUAAUGUUUUGUUUUCUUCCAAGGCUUAUGUCUUUCGUCCCUCUUAAGUGUUCCUUCCCUUCAUAAAAAUCUUUUAUCUGUCCAUCAGUUUACUUAUGAUAUGCAAGUAUUACAUUCUUUCCUUUGGGAUGUCAAAUUCGUGACUUACAAAGUGUUGUUCUUCUUUUUCAGGGCCUAUGUAAAAAUGGUCUUUAUUUGCACUAUUUGAUUUAAUUCAUUCGGAUGCAUGGAUGUCUCAUGUUGUCUCGAUCUUUGGUUAUCGCUAUUAUGUCUUGUUUACUGAUGAUUUCAUUCGUUAUUCGUGGAUUUUUCCCAUGCUUCUUAAGUCAGAGGUUUUUGUUAUGUAUGUUAAAAAUCAAUUCUCUUUGUCUAUCAAACAAUUCCAGAGUGAUGGGGGUAAGGAAUAUGAUAAAUUGCAAUUUAAGCAUUUUUGUGCCACUAAUGGAAUUGUGCAUCGUUUUCUUGUUCCCAACAGAAUGAAUUAGCUGAGCGCAAACAUUGUCAUAUUGCUGAUAUUGGACGCACCCUUGUACAUACUGCUCACAUGCCCCGUAACUUAUGGGCCGAGUCGUUGGGCACUGCAGUCUAUUUAAUUAAUCGACUUUCUACGCCUGUUAUUCAAUGGACCUCACCAUACCUAUCCUUAUUUGUGAUAAACAUAGUGGUUACCGCUGCUUACAUCCUCCUACAGGUCGACUCUACAUUUCACGCCAUGUCAUUUUCCGUGAAGAUCAAUUUUAUUAUGCUUCUGUUUCUGUGCCUACUCAACGUCCAGAACUUUGCCAUAAUUCCAGUCAGCUUGCUGCCUAGUUCACCCUCUCAGCCGACAGCGGCUGACAUCAGGCCACUACAGCAAACAGCAGUUGACAACAGCCUACUGCAGCUGGCACCGUUUCACCCAGCUGUCCUUCCCCCGAAUCCGCGUGCCCAUCAGUCCCACAGAGUCAACAUCAGUUUUGGACGUUGACUUGCCCAUCACAUCUGUUCAAUCAGUACCUGCAGCACACUUGUCGUGUUGUCUUCCUCAACCGCAACAUAUGAUUUUGGUGCUUCUGCCGUUGCUCCGCCACCACCCAGUGGGUGUUGUAGUCCAGUUUGCACACGUUCAAAAAUUUGGAAUUUUCAAGCCAAAAUCCUAAAUAUCCAGCAAAUCUUUCUACUAGGUAUUAUGUACCUCAAGCUUUCGUUGCCUUGGUGAAUAUAAAUAUCGAACCUACUUGUUACAUACAAGCGUCUCGCUCUCCCGAAUGGAAACAGGCCAUGCUCGACGAAUAUAAUGCACUUCUUCACGAGGUACCUGGUUUUUGGUCCCACCAUCUAAUUCGAUCAAUACAAUUGGUUGUAAAUGAGUUUUCAAAAUUAAGUGGUGGUCUAAUGGCAUAAUUGAAAGGUACAAGGCACGUCUCGUUGCCAAAGGAUCCAUCAAUAAUUCGGUGUUGAUUACUUUGAUACAUUCAGUCAUGUCGUCAAACCCACAACGAUUCACACUGUUCUAUGUCUGGCUAUUUCUUUUGGAUGAUAUUUUCAACAACUUGAUGUCAAGAAUGCAUUCUUACAUGGCUCUCUGUCUAAGAAAGUUUACAUGCGACAACCCCCAGGUCUUGUUGAUCCCUAUUAUCCUCACCAUGUGUGUAAGCUUCAUAAGGCCAUUUAUGGCCUCAAUUAGGCUCCCUGGGCAUGGUUUCAACAUUGUAUUUCUUUCCUUAUGAGGAUUGUUUAUGUCAAAGUCGAGCUGACAACUCUAUGUUACCUUUGAAUCUGUUAAACGAUGUUACUUGAAAGGCUCUCUUGGGUUUGGUCUUCCUAUCUAUAGGUCUCAAGAUUGUUCCUUCUUAAUUGC